rnacentral:lncRNA from 1 species
AUGGGACACAGCAGCACGGCUGGGGAGGAAGGACUGCGAAGGCGGGGGCUGCAAGGUACCCGCAGGCGCCCCCCCCCAUGCUGCACACCCCCCCAUCCACACUGCACCCCCAGGUCCACACUGCACCCCCCCCGUCCACACUGCACCCCCAGGUCCACACUGCACCCCCUGUCCACACUGCACCCCCCCAUCCACACUGCACCCCCAGGUCCACACUGUACCCCCUGUCCACACUGCACACCCCCACGUCCACACUGCACACCCCAUGUCCACACUGCACACACACUCCUUCCACACUGCACACCCCCACGUCCACACUGCACCCCCACGUCCACAUUGCACCUCCUGUCCACACUGCACACCCCCUGUCCACACUGCACACUCCCUGUCCACAUUGCACACCCCCGUCCAUACUACACACCCCCUGUCCACACUGCACACCCCCCCUCCACACUGCACACCCCACCUCCACCCUGCACACCCCUCCACUCUGCACACCCGCUGCCCCGCCCUCCGCGGCUCCCCGUUACUGUCCGGGGCGGCCUCCUGGCCGGUGACCGGCUGUCCCCGCGGUCCUCAGCACUCCUAGCCGGGCGGGGGCGGAGCGGAGCGGCCUGGAUGCCUCCAAGGUCCCAGGGGUGGCUCGGGCAGCGGGAACCCUCUGUUCCUUCCUCGAGCGCGAGCAUGACGGAUCCCUGCGACCCGGGUGCCCGGGGUCCAGGGGGCGCCCCGACCCGGGGUGGGGGUGGGGGUGUUGCUGCUCCCCCCGACAGCCGCGGGGGGCAGGAAAGGAGGCCCGGGGUGGCCCGCGAGGAGCCGGCGGGGCGCGGGGGGGGGGGGGGCGGUCGGGGGAGGGUCUGGGGGAGGGCGCGGGGAGCCCCGGAGCGCAGGCGGGCAGGGGGGCAGGGCCCCCAAGGGCAUCAGCCGUGCUCCCCUUUCCCAGGCCCACCGCCUGGCCCAGCUCGGCCUGCAGAUGCGGCCCUGCAGGCGCUGGAGCCUAGUCCUGAGCACUGUGGCUCAGGGUUUAAAUGCAGGAGCCAGCUUUUAACAUCACCUCGACCGAACCAGUGCUUGUUCUGUGUUCUCCAACCGUAG